CAAGGCCUUGCGCUCUUUGAGCGGCCGAUGUCGGAUUAGCUAGUUGGUGAGGUAAAGGCUUACCAAGGCGACGGUCUGUAGCGGGUCUGAGAGGAUGAUCCGCCACACUGGAACUGAGACACGGUCCAGACUCCUACGGGAGGCAGCAGUGGGGAAUUUUGGACAAUGGGGGCAACCCUGAUCCAGCCAUGCCGCGUGAGUGAAGAAGGCCUUCGGGUUGUAAAGCUCUUUCGGCCGGGAAGAAAUCGCAUGGGCCAAUACCCUGUGUGGAUGACGGUACCGGAAUAAGAAGCACCGGCUAACUACGUGCCAGCAGCCGCGGUAAUACGUAGGGUGCGAGCGUUAAUCGGAAUUACUGGGCGUAAAGCGUGCGCAGGCGGUUUUGUAAGACAGGCGUGAAAUCCCCGGGCUUAACCUGGGAACUGCGUUUGUGACUGCAAGGCUAGAGUACGGCAGAGGGGGGUGGAAUUCCACGUGUAGCAGUGAAAUGCGUAGAGAUGUGGAGGAACACCAAUGGCGAAGGCAGCCCCCUGGGUCGAUACUGACGCUCAUGCACGAAAGCGUGGGUAGCAAACAGGAUUAGAUACCCUGGUAGUCCACGCCCUAAACUAUGUCAACUAGGUGUUGGGUGGGUAAAACCAUUUAGUACCGUAGCUAACGCGUGAAGUUGACCGCCUGGGGAGUACGGCCGCAAGGUUAAAACUCAAAGGAAUUGACGGGGACCCGCACAAGCGGUGGAUGAUGUGGAUUAAUUCGAUGCAACGCGAAAAACCUUACCUACCCUUGACAUGCCAGGAACUUGCCAGAGAUGGCUUGGUGCCCGAAAGGGAGCCUGGACACAGGCGCUGCAUGGCUGUCGUCAGCUCGUGUCGUGAGAUGUUGGGUUAAGUCCCGCAACGAGCGCAACCCUUGUCGUUAAUUGCCAUCAUUUAGUUGGGCACUUUAACGAGACUGCCGGUGACAAACCGGAGGAAGGUGGGGAUGACGUCAAGUCCUCAUGGCCCUUAUGGGUAGGGCUUCACACGUCAUACAAUGGUCGGUACAAAGGGUUGCCAAGCCGCGAGGCGGAGCCAAUCCCAGAAAGCCGAUCGUAGUCCGGAUUGCAGGCUGCAACUCGCCUGCAUGAAGUCGGAAUCGCUAGUAAUCGUGGAUCAGCAUGUCACGGUGAAUACGUUCCCGGGUCUUGUACACACCGCCCGUCACACCAUGGGAGCGGGUUCCGCCAGAAGUAGGUAGCCUAACCGCAAGGGGGGCGCUUACCACGGCGGGGUUCGUGACUGGGGUGAAGACGUAACAAGGUA
rnacentral:rRNA from 1 species